CAACUUUCAACAAUGGAUCUCUUGGCUCUGGCAUCGAUGAAGAACGCAGCGAAAUGCGAUAAGUAGUGUGAAUUGCAGAAUUCCGUGAAUCAUCGAAUCUUUGAACGCACAUUGCGCCCCUCGGUAUUCCGUGGGGCAUGCCUGUUCGAGCGUCAU
rnacentral:rRNA from 1 species